UUCCGUGUAAUGUCCAAAACUAUGGUCUGCACCCAUCUCUCAGCAAUAUCUCACAAACAUCAGCACCACCACACUCGUUUAACGUGAAAGCAGAAAGUAAAACUUCAGCAGCGUCUGUGUAGAUGAGAGAAGAAGGAGAAGAACGUUUGGAUAAAAAGCACAGAGAAGAAGAACUGAGAUGUUCUUGUGCAGCACAGUCAGAAGAUAAACUGAGGUGAAGACUUUGUAUUAGGUGUAAUCUGAAGGAGAAGUUGAGCUCCAGAAUGAGUGUCUCUGGGGAACAGGACACACAGGAAGCUGAGAGACUGUUUCAGGGUAAGAGAUCUGACUCUCCUGAACCCAGCUGUGUGUCCAUGAAGAGUGAUCGGUCAGUGAGCAGAAUAAUAAUC